ensembl:lncRNA
CGUCCUCCUUCUCCAAUUAAAACUCCAUCUCGGCAUCGCUGCGGACCGUGGGAAGGUCUGAAGGAAAACACGGUGGCCCCGAUAUUCUUCUAACUGAGAAGUGCUACACAGUCUCUUCUAGAUGAGAUGUCUGACUAGAAAGGACAGGUGCAAAACCAGAGCAGCAAGAUCAGAGUGUGAAACUCAGUGAUGCUACUGCCGUCUCCAGCUGUCCUCCUCUCAGGCUCCCCCACAGGCAGCUAGCUUGGAUAAUGGUCAAACCAGUGCAACGUUCCCGUGUAACUAAGGCCUUAAAAAAGGAUUUUAAAGAUAAAUAUCUCAGUUAAUUACUUAAGCUACAGUCUGAAACCUAUUGAAGUCAAUGAGACAGGAGAGCAAGCAGCCAACAAGAUACACUCUGAAGUGUCUUUCUGAAUCAGUAGCUUCAUUCUGCUCUAAGGAACAAACCUCCAUUUCAGCGAAAGUCAUCUUAGGAUCAUGGUGCUUUCUUAGAUCUCUGUCAGCCGCAAAGCCUACAAGAGAGAGGACAGUGCUAAGGCCUGGCUGCAGGAGAGUGUUGCAGGAAGCUGGAGAGAGCAGAUUCUCAGCUAUACAUUCCAUUACAAAGUCUGACUUAAUUCAUGGAUCAGGAAUGGAAGACCAACUUCCUUGCCUUCAAACCAUGAGGAGUUUCAGAAAGUAGAGUCAGCUUCUCACUGUACCAAACUAAAAGAACAGACACAAAUGAAAAACUUCAAUAGUGCAACAAGCUCUGCUCAAAGAAGCUCACCCAGCAGCCCGUUCAAUGCUUUGGCUUUUGUUAAAAGGGAGGUUCUUCAGAGCAAGAGGUUCCAUUACAUGUCUACAUGUUGAGGAGAAGACCCUGGCCAGUGGCCGGCCACCCAUUCAGCCACUCCCUCACUCCCCUUCCUCAUGGGGGCAUGCAGGGGCAGAAAAAUGAUGAAAAAGCUUGUGGACAGAGAUAAAGACAGGGAAAUUACUUACUAGUUACUGUCAAGCAAUUACUUACCAAUUUGUCACUUGGAGAAAAUUAAUUUUUUGCCAAUUGAAAGAGCUUUGGUUUUUUUGAGAAACAAAAUCAAAAACUGAAGGCACGUCUUACCCCCACAUCCUUUCCCACUUCAUUCCUGAUUCCUCUUUCAGUGAAUGGGAGGUGUGACGGGUCCACAACAGUUCCUCUCCACCUCUCCUUUCUCCUCACACUGUUCUCUUGCUCCACCAUGGGCCUCUUCAAUGGGCUGCAGAUUCAUGCUCUGUCUUGGAGGACCUCAUUACUCUCCUCUUUCUCUGAACUUGGCCUUCACCCCAUUACUUCAUCCUUUUUUUCCCCUUCCUCUGCCUGCCUAGUGCUUUUGCCCAUUCUUUAAUACAUCUUCCCUGAGACACCAGCAAAAAGCCACGUGGGCUCCUGGAGCUUGGCAGCGUCUGCUAGGAUGGCCACUGGUCCAUCACUGGUCAACAAUGAGUGUUGCGCCAUCACUUGUUGUAUGCUUCUGGUUCUAAUGCAAGGGAGCAGAUUGAUAUAUAACGUCACUAUUUCCAACCUCAGAUAUUCAGCAAAUGUAUUUUUUUCCCCAAAUACUUUUCAAUGGCAAAUAUAGAUAUCUUUUCGUUUGUAUUUUGACCUCCAAGUCUUGAAUCUUUCUCCAAACACAUAGUCAAGAAACUCAUUUUUCAAAAGUCCUAAGAGUUGAGUUUCUUAUGAGAGUCUGGUCCACUUCAAGG